AGUGAGUCUAGCUAAGGGUUUAU
rnacentral:piRNA from 1 species